AAAUACCCCUCCCUACGCCAGAACACGUGGAUCUAACCGCGUCUGGGUCGGGUCAUCGGGUCACGGCCUAAAACAGCGCCGUUUAAGAGCCACUGAAUCAGGCAAUACAACGUCGUUUCUCAUCUCCCCACUUAAACCAAAAUUAACCUUAUUACCCUAAUCAGAAAAGAAAAAGAUAAAAAAAACUAAAAAACUCCUCUCGUUCCUGAGUCGCGCCGCUCCAGCUCGCUGUUCAUCCAGCCCAGACUCCGAUUGCAGCGGAGUGAGCCAAGAUGCGGCGCUUCCCCCCCUCCGAGGUAAGUAUCCUCUCCUUUUCUCUCUUACCAC
rnacentral:lncRNA from 1 species